UAUCUACUCCCUCCGUUCGGAAUUACUUGUCUCGGAAAUGGAUGUAUCUAGAACUAAAAUACGUCUAGAUACAUCCAUUUCUGCGACAAGUCAUUCCGAACGGAGGGAGUACUCU
rfam:Triticum urartu cultivar G1812 contig1146158, whole genome shotgun sequence.